GUUUACACUCCUAGCAGUCAAACUGGAACAGCAUACAAUAAAUCCUACCCCAAUAAUGAGACGACACUUUACUUUGAGGGUUAAGCAGGAACUCACAGUACUGGCACAUACAGCCUCUUUUAUUCACAAUCCACAAACAGUACUGCCCGCAGGGCUUUGAAACACAACCAAUCAAUCCGUACAAUACACACAGACACUCCCACACAAAAUCCUCCCCUCUGCCUGUGAUAUGAU